AUGCAGGGGUGGUCAGAAAAAGUCUUAGGCUUCUCAAAGAAACGCUGGACUCUCCAAAAUGUAGACCUGGGCAACUGUGCAAGAAGCUCCCGCAACAGGUAUGCCGAUAAGUUGAUCAAGAGCAAAGUGAAGACCUUCUUCACAAGGGAUGACGUUAGCCGCAUGACCACGGGUAAAAAACAGACAAUCACAAGAAAGAAAAUAAAAAUGCAAAAACGGUUCCUUGUGGACACAAUGCUAAACCUUCAUCUGAAAUUUCUGGCUGAGAAUAACACGAGCAACAUUUCAUACUCUGCAUUUUGCCAGCUGAGACCCUUUUGGGUUGUCCACCCCUCCCUUGCAGAUCGUGAUAGUUGCCAGUGCAAGCUUCACGAAAAUCUGGGCUUCCUGGCAGAAAAGCUACAUCAGUUGAAGGUCACUGAAACUUCAAAUUUAGAAAGCCUCAUAGAACAUGUGUCCUGUGACACUGGCAGCAAAGCCUGCAUGUAUGGAGAGUGUGAGGACUGCAAAAACACCACAGUUCCCUUUUCUAACAAUUAUGAAGGUGCACAGAGAGAAAAUUAUCUGCAGUGGGCCACAGAAGAAAGAGCUCAUAAAGAAGAGACCUCAGUCACAAAAAUAACAGUGAAAACAAAGGUGGAGAGUAGCCAAGAGGAACUUGUUGAAAGGUUCCACAGACACAUGACGAACAUGACGGCAACAGUACGCCUACUGCACAACAACAUGGCCAAUGAUGAAUGCCUGGUUCACAUUGAUUUCUCAGAAAACUUCUCUUGUAAAUACCAUAAAGGAAUCCAGUCAACAUACUAUGGUUCAAACCACCCACAAGCCACACUGCACACUGGUGUUAUUUAUUUUGGCGGAAACAAAGAGCCGACCUGCUUCACCUCCAUCUCACCAUCUAGGCACAAGAGUCCUGCUGCGAUAUGGGAACACCUCAAACCUGUACUGGACCAUGUGCAGACCAGCAAUCCUGAAGUGUCUGUUGUGCACUUUUUUAGCGAUGGGCCCUGUACCCAAUAUAAACAAAAAGGAAACUUUUUCCUUUUUAGCACAGAACUAGAGAAGAGAGGUCUGAGAGGGACCUGGAACUUUUUCGAGUCCAGUCAUGGAAAAGGAGCACCAUAUGGUGUAGGAGCUGCUUUGAAGAGGUCAGCAGACAGGCUCAUUUGCCAUGGCCAAGACAUCACCAAUGCUUAUGAGCUCUUCAAGGCCCUUUCGGAGACAGACACUUAA
rnacentral:lncRNA from 1 species